rnacentral:rRNA from 1 species
AUGUCCCAUAUAUUAACUUCUGUCAUCAAGGAGGAUUUGAUCUCAAAGUCAUACUAUUUCUGCCUGCCUGAUAGAGAGAAGGAAUAUAAUCUUCACAAGCGAGAAGCACAAUUUGUUUCUGCUUGUGGUCUGUUUCAUCCGAUUCUUGUGGGUCUGCCGAAGCUAUGGGAACACUGGUUUCAGGUGGAUUUCUCAAGUGAGAUGAGCGGACCAUGGACAACCCAUGAGGAAUGGAGGGAUGAAAUGUAUCAAGAGUACAUGAAGCACAUCCCAAUUCCUGAUCACUACGGUUCCCUGAUCGCAUCCACAUCAUGGCUGGGACUUGGAAGAUCGGUGAAGUGGUCAGGGUCUCUUUUAACGCUGCUUUUAGCUCUCUCAACUGCAGCUAUGUUGAAGAAGAAGAAACCUGGUGGUGUGGAUUUCAGUGCUUUGAGCUGGUACGGGUGUCGUGGCGGACCAUCUAUAUUGACAGUUGCUCCUCCAAAGGUUGAACCUAACUGGACUUGGUCCACUGGGAAAGAUUAUUGGUGCAGCGCUCUUUCUCUCAAGACUAGAGAUCGCAACGAGAAGGAAGUUCUAACUGGGUCUUUUGAAGAGCGGGAACGCACAAGGGCUGCAGUAACUGAAGGCGAGAAGCUUAUCGGUGUGAUGAAGAUCCCCCAACCAAGGUCUUUUGAAGAGCGGGAACACACACUCGCUACGUACAUAGUCUAUGCUACAAUGACCGGAGUACCAACCACUGUUCAAGGGUUUGUUGUAGCUGCUUUCGAAGCUUCCGACACCCCCAACCCACCCAAACCCUUCUCCAAAACCACUUCCCCCACUCCGUCGCCCCCUUGCUCUAUAUCCACACCUUUCAAGUUUGACGUUGCCGCUCUACCACUUCAAUCACCGCCCAGGCGUCGGACAUCUGCCACCCUGAGGACUUGCUGGAUGUCCGCCUUGGACUACGCCACCAUCCGCGUUGGAUCUGUCCGCAACUAG